UGAGUAACCUGCCCUGGACUUUGGGAUAACCCUCGGAAACGGGGGCUAAUACCGGAUAUGACGGCUCACCGCAUGGUGUGGUUGUGGAAAGUUUUUCGGUCUGGGAUGGGCUCGCGGCCUAUCAGCUUGUUGGUGGGGUGAUGGCCUACCAAGGCGACGACGGAUAGCCGGCCUGAGAGGGCGACCGGCCACACUGGGACUGAGACACGGCCCAGACUCCUACGGGAUGCA
rnacentral:rRNA from 1 species